rnacentral:rRNA from 1 species
AUUGAACGCUGGCGGCAGGCCUAACACAUGCAAGUCGAGCGGAUGAAGGGAGCUUGCUCCUGGAUUCAGCGGCGGACGGGUGAGUAAUGCCUAGGAAUCUGCCUGGUAGUGGGGGAUAACGUCCUGAAACGGGCGCUAAUACCGCAUACGUCCUGAGGGAGAAAGUGGGGGAUCUUCGGACCUCACGCUAUCAGAUGAGCCUAGGUCGGAUUAGCUAGUUGGUGGGGUAAAGGCCUACCAAGGCGACGAUCCGUAACUGGUCUGAGAGGAUGAUCAGUCAUACUGGAACUGAGACACGGUCCAGACUCCUACGGGAGGCAGCAGUGGGGAAUAUUGGACAAUGGGCGAAAGCAUGAUCCAGCCAUGCCGCGUGUGUGAAGAAGGUCUUCGGAUUGUAAAGAACUUUAAGUUGGGAGGAAGGGCAGUAGGUUAAUACCUUGCUGGUGUGACGUUACCAACAGAAUAAGCACCGGCUAACUUCGUG